AUUGAACGCUGGCGGCAGGCCUAACACAUGCAAGUCGAGCGGAUGAAGAGAGCUUGCUCUCUGAUUCAGCGGCGGACGGGUGAGUAAUGCCUAGGAAUCUGCCUGGUAGUGGGGGACAACAGUUGGAAACGACUGCUAAUACCGCAUACGUCCUACGGGAGAAAGCAGGGGACCUUCGGGCCUUGCGCUAUCAGAUGAGCCUAGGUCGGAUUAGCUAGUAGGUGAGGUAAUGGCUCACCUAGGCGACGAUCCGUAACUGGUCUGAGAGGAUGAUCAGUCACACUGGAACUGAGACACGGUCCAGACUCCUACGGGAGGCAGCAGUGGGGAAUAUUGGACAAUGGGCGAAAGCCUGAUCCAGCCAUGCCGCGUGUGUGAAGAAGGUCUUCGGAUUGUAGAGCACUUUAAGUUGGGAGGAAGGGCAGUAAGUUAAUACCUUGCUGUUUUGACGUUACCGACAGAAUAAGCACCGGCUAACUUCGUGCCAGCAGCCGCCGUAAAAC
rnacentral:rRNA from 1 species